rnacentral:lncRNA from 1 species
GGCGUGUCUAUGGUCGUUCACCAGUCACGCUGUCGCCGGAGCAACGGCGGGAGGGAAUCGUUUAAAAUGAUGAAAAAAGGCCAGCUGAUCAUCUACGUAAACUGUAUGUCACAGUACUGCCCAGGGCUCAUCUAUGUUCAGUAAGCAAAGAGAAAUUUGCCUAGAGACAAAGCAGAACUGAAGCAAGUUUCCUGCGUGGGAGAGGUAUUUCAGUGCAGCUGUGUGCAAGAAGAGUUGGAUGGGCUUGAAAACUGGUGUGGCUUUCAUCGGCUCCCAAGUUUGGCCACGUGGUGUGCCACAGCCCUGUGGCAAGUGGAAGUGGGCAGCUCAGAUCCAGUACAGUGGAGCUGCAGAGGAUAAAGCCAACAUGGUGAAGCUGAGAAGAUACGUGCUGUCAGUCUGAAGCACCCUAGAAAUAAAAACAAGAAGGGUUUUAAAAACACGCUUUGCUUUUCCUCAAGUAUGUCGUUUCUCCACCGUUCAUUUUGCUGAAUGCACUGAUGACUGUACCUGAGGCAGAUCUACGGUUGUUUCUCAAUCCUCCCUUUCAUCAGCUUCACUUUUUAUUACCAGUCUAAAAGAAAUGUUUUCAUUUCUAUAAAGCACUGCAUAUUUUUUCAAGAUAAAUCUUAAUCAAGCAUUGACUUCAAAGUGGC